UGGUACAUGAUUUUCCAAAUA
rnacentral:piRNA from 1 species